rnacentral:tRNA from 2 species
CCCUGGUUAGCUCAGUUGGUGGAGCGCUCCACCUGUAAUGGAGAGGUCCCGGGUUCGAUACCCGGACCAGACA